rnacentral:pre_miRNA from 1 species
UUUAUAGUAUAAGUAUGGCCCAUAAAAUAUUGGGGAUAUACUUAUACUAAAC